CUACAAUGUGCGUAACAUUGGAAUGGGACAAGACUGGAGGCAGGGAGGCCACAUAGAAGAAUGGUGACUUGAACUAAGUUGCAAUGGAGAAGGAAGAGAGGUGGACUCAAGAGGGGGGCCAUUGAUUUGAACUGAGCUGCUGCACCAGGCCAACAGACCAAAAUGGAGUCACUCAUGCUGAAGUUCCACAUCACCAAACUGAAACUAAGUUGUCUAUCAGACCUUCUAAGAAGUCAGGAGACAGAGGGAGAUAAUAGCCAAGUCAUCAAACAGGCCAGUUUUAGCCAGCAUGAUUUUUAAAACAUCUCCUUUGUUUAUCUUUUACAAAAAAAGUAACUUUGAAAUGACCAACCGACUUUUUGUAUUCUGUUUCUGCUUUUCUCAGCCCUUUUCUGGCUUUAAAAGAAAACUCCUCUGCUCAGCUCAUCAGAACACUCAUUCUGUUUUAUGGAAUGAAAUGUUGCUUGAUCUGACGUUUGCAAAUAAA
rnacentral:lncRNA from 1 species